UUUCUAGUAACAGAUUAUUCUGUUUUCUGGAAGUAAGCUAGUGAUCAGGCAGCGGCCAGACAACCGUAGUGAUGGAUCCACAGAUGACAGGUUUUUUAAUCCUGUUUUUAUCUACUGAUUCCAUCUCACAUUU
rfam:Citrus clementina cultivar Clemenules unplaced genomic scaffold scaffold_4, whole genome shotgun sequence.